UGGGGCGUAGCCAAGUGGUAAGGCACCGCUUUUUGGUAGCGGCAUUUCGAAGGUUCGAAUCCUUCCGCCCCAGCCA
rnacentral:tRNA from 3 species